CACAAAUGUAAAUUUAGGCCAGUGAAACCUUCAUCAAGAACAUACUAAUAAAUCGGUCAAACAGGUUUAUGGUGCACACUCUCAGAAAUUGGGGUACAGUUAAGUAGCCUAUUUCUAAGACUAAAGAUGAUCGUUUACUUUGUCAGUCAUGUGGAUAAUAAGCACUUGUUUGAAACAGUAAUAUUGCACUCAUUAUUAUACACUGUAUAAUUUAGAAAUGAGCAAGAUGUACUUUUGCCUCUGGGAAAGUGGUCUGCUAUGUGUGGGUUGUUCCAUUUUUUAUUUGACUGGAUUUGUUUGAAAUUGACUAGUUUUUUAUUCUUCUUCCAACAUCUAAGCAAAUUGAUGUGCUUCCUAAGCUACUAGUCUGGCGAAUUUGAUUUACAAAUGAGUUGUUUUUCCCAGUUUUGCAACACAUGGUAGUGUGAUUAUUCAGGCCUUGUGAAAUAUAAAGUCUCUCGUGGAAGAGCUUGAGAUAUAGGGCAGUACAGAAUAUGCAGAGCAAGGCCACUAGAUGGAGACAAACUACACAAUAUUGUCUAGAAUUUCCGUUUGACUUACCGGUGAUGCCAUGAUUUAAAAAUUGUUUUAAUUUUUUGCAAUAUCAUAUUUUUGAUCUAUAGUAAUUAGGAGCAUCGGUUUGAAUUUCUGACCAUUGUGCGAACUGGGCCCCUGUCUAAGGUAAUUUUUACUUUUCUGGGACAAAAUAAUUAGUAAUGAAAUCAACAGAAAUCAAUAGAAAGUGUUGUGCCUAAUAUUUUGUAGUGUUUAGUUUUUGCACCUGUGAUUAAAAUUAUUUUUGGGGGGGCUUGCCACACAUUCAGUGUGCACAAGACAAACAAAACACUGCACCACAGCUUUCAGUUACAUAUUACUUUACAUUUAUGGAAUACACCCUUAUCCAGAGCGACUUACAUUUAUCUCAUUUAUACUACUGAACAUUUAAAUCGUAAAUGGUCUGCUUUUAUAUGAUGCUUUUUUAAACCUUAGUGGUUCUACAAAGCGCUUUACACUGUGUCUCAUUCACCCAUUCACACACACACACACACACACACACCAGUGGUAGCAGAGCUGCCAUGCAAGGCACUAGCUUGCCACUGGGAGCAACUUGGGGUUCAGUGUCUUGCCCAAGAACACUUCGGCAUGUGGCCGAAGUGAAAUAAACUGCCAAUUCUACAUUUAAUGGACAACCCGCUCUACCACCUGAGCCACAGUUGCCCAAUUUAAGGGUUAAGGGCCUUGCUCAAGUGCUCAGCAGUGUCAGUCUGGCAGUGCUGGGAUUUGAACUCACGAGUAACAUCUCAACUGAGCUACCACAGCCUUUUUUAAAAAUGUUUUAUGUUGUUACUUGUGUUUUGAUGAAUGACAAAUGCUUUUUAAUAUUUAUAUGUAUAGAAAUAGCUAAUAAUGUAUAAAUCCAUGGAUUCUACACAGCCAUGUGUUAUGUACCUGAAUACUGUAAAAUGUUCAUAUUUCAUGCAUUAAUAAAGAUCUGCCUAACAACACUAUGUACAGAUGUGUUCAGUGAAUAUAACCGAACAUAGAAGGUCGGUUCUUGAGAGAGAGGGAGUGAGAGUAUGUAUGUAUGUAUGUAUGUAUGUAUGUAUGUGCAAGAUUGUUAUAUAUGACCAAUAUA
ensembl:lncRNA